GGCUGCGUCUGUAUCCUAUCCGAAGAGGCCCGUGUGAACAUCGUAGACCUUAUAUCAUCGAUCAACAUCCUUCAGGCCAAUUGGGCAUGUCUUACAUCAACCGUCGCCAGUCUUCUGAAACCAUCCGAUGUACCAUGUCUCUCAACCCUAGUUCUUGGCGGUGAGCCUGCUAGUCAGGAUGUUGUUGCAGUAUGGGCGGGUCAUGUCACUCUACACAAUGUUUAUGGCCCUGCAGAAGCUUCGAUAUGGUCUGCAUGCAAUGAAAAUCUCGGAGAGCAUAGCUUAGCUCUGAAUAUUGGCAAAGGCCUUGCCAGCCGACUCUGGGUCGCGAACCCGGCUAACCACCACAAUCUAGUGCCUAUCGGGUGUGUGGGCGAACUGUUAAUCGAGGGACCUCUCCUAGCUCGCGGAUAUCUUCACGACCCAGAACUGACAUCUACUAAAUUUAUAUACGACCCGUCUUGGGUCCUUCAGCUCGGUCUUGAGCAGCCUAAGCGCCUCUAUAAAACAGGCGAUCUGGUGCGAUAUCUAGAUGAUGGGUCUUUGAUAUUUGUGAGCAGAAAAGACAGUCAAGUUAAAAUAAAUGGUCAAAGAGUGGAUCUUGGGGAAAUCGCUCAUCAUUUGAAGUCAAGCAUUCCAUCGGAAUUCGUAUCCCAAAUUGUCGCGGAAUUCGUCAGAAAGCAAUAUCAGAACGACAGACAUACACUAGUUGCGUUCCUCGAACAAUCAGAUGAUAUUGAUGAGUCUGAGUUUUGUGGUACAUUUUCGCCUACAUUGAAACGACAGAUUCAACAUGCACGGCAUGUUCUAGAAGACAACUUACCGAGUUACAUGAUUCCAUCAAUGUUUAUACCGUUAGCACGGCUACCAAGAAACGCAUCCGGCAAACUUGAUCGAAAGAAACUCCAACAAUAUUUUAUGAACCUCUCUUCGACUCAACUUAAUGAGUUCAUGCUAUUAAGCGAAGUUAAAACAGAACCGAAAUCUGCAAUGGAGAUUCAACUUCGAGAUAUUUGGACGCAAGAGCUGAAAGUUUCCGGACCCAUUGGACUGGAGGACAGCUUCUUCGAACUCGGGGGAGAUUCAAUUAGUGCAAUGAGGCUUGUAGCUGCAGCUCGCGAUAUUGGAAUCUUCAUUUCAGUGGCAGAUGUCUUUCAAUUCCCCAGAUUGGGCAACCUCGCGUCGGCAGUAAUGCAGUCAAACCUAGCAGCUGACUGUGAUUACAGACCAUAUGAUCUCUGGCAUCCAGAAAGCCCAGAGGCAAUUGAGGAAAUUGCAAGCCUGUGUCAAAUCUCGAAAGAUGAGAUAGAAGAUAUCCUUCCAACUACACCUCUUCAAGAGGGGCUGACG
rnacentral:sRNA from 2 species